UGAGUCAACUGAAGCAGAUAAUGCUAAAAUACAGGUAAAAAUACGUCAUGCUCUCACUGUCAUUCAGCGUUGACAACAGAAAUGUGUUCGCAAAGUCUGCUGCUGAUACUGCUUCUCUGCGUCUUUUACUGCUACACGCAAGAGAUCACACUAACUCAAAAUGAAAUAAAAAGUAUAAUGAACGAAUCGAUGAUACUAUCGACUGCCAUGGCUUGCUUUGUGUUUUUAGUCUUAAUUGUGCUAGUUCCUACGAUAUUAUAUUAUAGGUACUGCUCUAAAAGAGAAAUUGAAGUACCAAUAAAUUGAAAUAUCGUCCAUAUUGGUGAUUGCAGACUGCAAUUAUUUUUUUCAGCUAAAUUGUAUUAUUAAAUAGAUAUAAGCAUUCUAUGUCACAUAUUAAGAUUAAAAAAGAAUUGAAAAUAAUCAAACUUUUUAUCGCAAAACGGCUGUAUGCCGCUGUUAAUCCGCAUAUUUAUUCAAUAAAUAUACAUAAAUUAACACAUUCGCAUAAACUAGUAUGAAUUUUAUAAUUAAUCCGUCAAUCUCAUUUUAUAACUCGUUAUUAGCAAAACCGCGCGAACAGACUGCUCUGUUAAAUUUCGAUUCGAUCAAAUGCAAAAUAUAAGAGGGCAGUGUAUUUUGUAUGAUAAACUCACACAAAAUGAUCAAUUAUGUAUACAACAUAUGUAUUUUAUUUACUUGUUAGC